rnacentral:rRNA from 1 species
CAGUAGCCACGGUAAUACGUAGGGUGCGAGCGUUGUCCGGAAUUACUGGGCGUAAAGAGCUCGUAGGCGGUUUGUCGCGUCGUCUGUGAAAUUCUGCAGCUUAACUGUAGGCGUGCAGGCGAUACGGGCAGACUUGAGUACUACAGGGGAGACUGGAAUUCCUGGCGUAGCGGUGAAAUGCGCAGAUAUCAGGAGGAACACCGGUGGCGAAGGCGGGUCUCUGGGUAGUAACUGACGCUGAGGAGCGAAAGCGUGGGUAGCGAACAGGAUUAGAUACCCCUGUAGUCCCUGUCUCUUAUAA